CUCAAUAGGUGUUGAUGUGUCCACCCGAUGUUGAUAAUAGAGAUCAAUAUACUCCACACCCAGACGCUUCAGGCUCCCCUCACAACAGGCACGGACGUAUUCAGGAGUACCAUUAACUACCACUCCAUUUGGCUCAAUUCUUACAACACCAAAUUUUGUCGCUAGUUGGAUCUUUUCUCGAGG